CGAAUCUUCCGCAAUGCGCGAAAGCGUGACGGAGCAAUGCCGCGUGAAGGAUGAAGCCCCUCGGGGUGUAAACUUCUGUCAGAGUUCAGCAACACAAUGAGCAGACUCAAAGGAAGGGCCGGCUAACUUCGUGCCAGCAGCCGCGGUAAUACGAAGGGCCCGAGCGUUGCGCGGAAUCAUUGGGCUUAAAGCGUACGUAGGCGGGCGCGCAGGCGUUUUGUGAAAUCCCUCGGCUCAACCGAGGAAUCGCUUGACGAACCGCGCGUCUUGAGGCAGGUAGGGGUUGUCGGAACGCUCGGUGGAGUGGUGAAAUGCGUUGAUAUCGAGCGGAACGCCGAAGGUGAAAACAGGCAACUGGGCCUGUCCUGACGCUGAGGUACGAAAGCGUGGGGAGCGAA
rnacentral:rRNA from 1 species